rfam:Schistosoma rodhaini strain Burundi genome assembly, scaffold: SROB_scaffold0001959
AUCCAGCUGACGAGUCUCAAAUAGGACGAAACGCAUGUCCUGGAU